rnacentral:rRNA from 1 species
ACGAACGCUGGCGGCGUGCUUAACACCUGCAAGUCGCACGGAAAGGCCCUGCUUUUGUGGGGUGCUCGAGUGGCGAACGGGUGAGUAACACGUGAGUAACCUGCCCUUGACUUUGGGAUAACUUCAGGAAACUGGGGCUAAUACCGGAUAGGAGCUCCUGCUGCAUGGUGGGGGUUGGAAAGUUUCGGCGGUUGGGGAUGGACUCGCGGCUUAUCAGCUUGUUGGUGGGGUAGUGGCUUACCAAGGCUUUGACGGGUAGCCGGCCUGAGAGGGUGACCGGCCACAUUGGGACUGAGAUACGGCCCAGACUCCUACGGGAGGCAGCAGUGGGGAAUAUUGCACAAUGGGCGGAAGCCUGAUGCAGCAACGCCGCGUGCGGGAUGACAGCCUUCGGGUUGUAAACCGCUUUCGCCUGUGACGAAGCGUGAGUGACGGUAAUGGGUAAAGAAGCACCGGCUAACUACGUG